rnacentral:rRNA from 1 species
GAUGAACGCUGGCGGCGUGCCUAAUACAUGCAAGUCGAGCGAACGGACGAGAAGCUUGCUUCUCUGAUGUUAGCGGCGGACGGGUGAGUAACACGUGGAUAACCUACCUAUAAGACUGGGAUAACUUCGGGAAACCGGAGCUAAUACCGGAUAAUAUUUUGAACCGCAUGGUUCAAAAGUGAAAGACGGUCUUGCUGUCACUUAUAGAUGGAUCCGCGCUGCAUUAGCUAGUUGGUAAGGUAACGGCUUACCAAGGCAACGAUUCAUAGCCGACCUGAGAGGGUGAUCGGCCACACUGGAACUGAGACACGGUCCAGACUCCUACGGGAGGCAGCAGUAGGGAAUAUUCCGCAAUGGGCGAAAGCCUGACGGAGCAACGCCGCGUGAGUGAUGAAGGUCUUCGGAUCGUAAAACUCUGUUAUUAGGGAAGAACAUAUGUGUAAGUAACUGUGCACAUCUUGACGGUACCUAAUCAGAAAGCCACGGCUAACUACGUG